UGCCUAACACAUGCAAGUCAAGGAGAAAGGGGUAGUAAUAUCCUGAGUAAACUGGCGAACGGGUGAGUAACACGUAGAUAACUUGCCCUGUGAACGGGAAUAACCCCGCGAAAGCGGGAUUAAUGCCCGAUGUAGUUUCGAUGCGACAUCGCAUUGAAAUAAAAGGCUCGCAAGAGCGUCACAGGAUGGGUCUGCGUCCCAUUAGAUAGUUGGCGGGGUAACAGCCCACCAAGUCUGCGAUGGGUAGCUGGUCUGAGAGGACGACCAGCCACACUGGAACUGAGACACGGUCCAGACUUCUACGGAAGGCAGCAGUGAGGAAUAUUGCUCAAUGGGCGAAAGCCUGAAGCAGCGACGCCGCGUGAAGGAUGAAAUCCGUUAGGUUGUAAACUUC
rnacentral:rRNA from 1 species